rnacentral:rRNA from 1 species
UACGUAGGGUGCAAGCGUUGUCCGGAAUUAUUGGGCGUAAAGAGCUUGUAGGCGGUUUGUCGCGUCUGCUGUGAAAUUUCGGGGCUCAACCCCGAACUUGCAGUGGGUACGGGCAGACUAGAGUGUGGUAGGGGAGACUGGAAUUCCUGGUGUAGCGGUGAAAUGCGCAGAUAUCAGGAGGAACACCGAUGGCGAAGGCAGGUCUCUGGGCCACUACUGGCGCUGAGAAGCUAAAGCAUGGGGAGCGAACAGG